CCUACGGGUGGCAGCAGUGGGGAAUAUUGCACAAUGGGGGAAACCCUGAUGCAGCGACGCCGCGUGAGUGAAGAAGUAAUUCGUUACGUAAAGCUCUAUCAGCAGGGAAGAAAAUGACGGUACCUGAGUAAGACGCCCCGGCUAACUACGUGCCAGCCGCCGCGGUAAUACGUAGGGGGCAAGCGUUAUCCGGAAUUACUGGGUGUAAAGGGAGCGUAGACGGUGAUGCAAGUCUGGAGUGAAAGGCGGGGGCCCAACCCCCGGACUGCUCUGGAAACUGUGUAACUUGAGUGCAGGAGAGGUAAGCGGAAUUCCUAGUGUAGCGGUGAAAUGCGUAGAUAUUAGGAGGAACACCAGUGGCGAAGGCGGCUUACUGGACUGUAACUGACGUUGAGGCUCGAAAGCGUGGGGAGCAAACAGGAUUAGAUACCCCAGUAGUC
rnacentral:rRNA from 1 species